rnacentral:rRNA from 1 species
AACGAACGCUGGCGGCAUGCCUAACACAUGCAAGUCGAACGAGACCUUCGGGUCUAGUGGCGCACGGGUGCGUAACGCGUGGGAACCUGCCCUUAGGUUCGGAAUAACUCCCCGAAAGGGGUGCUAAUACCGGAUAAUGUCUUCGGACCAAAGAUUUAUCGCCUUUGGAUGGGCCCGCGUUGGAUUAGCUAGUUGGUAGGGUAAAAGCCUACCAAGGCGACGAUCCAUAGCUGGUCUGAGAGGAUGAUCAGCCACACUGGGACUGAGACACGGCCCAGACUCCUACGGGAGGCAGCAGUGGGGAAUAUUGGACAAUGGGCGAAAGCCUGAUCCAGCAAUGCCGCGUGAGUGAUGAAGGCCUUAGGGUUGUAAAGCUCUUUUACCCGGGAUGAUAAUGGCAGUACCAGGAGAAUAAGCUCCGGCUAACUCCGUG